AUUAAACGCUGGCGGAAUGCUUUACACAUGCAAGUCGAACGGCAGCACGGACUUCGGUCUGGUGGCGAGUGGCGAACGGGUGAGUAAUACAUCGGAACGUGCCCAGUCGUGGGGGAUAACGUAGCGAAAGCUACGCUAAUACCGCAUACGAUCUAAGGAUGAAAGCGGGGGAUCGCAAGACCUCGCGCGAUUGGAGCGGCCGAUGGCAGAUUAGGUAGUUGGUAGGGUAAAGGCCUACCAAGCCGACGAUCUGUAGCUGGUCUGAGAGGAUGAUCAGCCACACUGGGACUGAGACACGGCCCAGACUCCUACGGGAGGCAGCAGUGGGGAAUUUUGGACAAUGGGCGCAAGCCUGAUCCAGCCAUUCCGCGUGCAGGAUGAAGGCCUUCGGGUUGUAAACUGCUUUUGUACAGAACGAAAAGGCUCUGGUUAAUACCCGGGGCUCAUGACGGUACUGUAAGAAUAAGCACCGGCUAACUCUGUGCCAGCAGCCGCAGUAA
rnacentral:rRNA from 1 species